AAGAGUUUGAUCAUAGCUCAGGAUGAACGCUAGCGGUGCGCCUAACACAUGCAAGUCGAACGGAGUUUAAAAGUAGCUUGCUACUUUUAAACUUAGUGGCAAACGGGUGAGUAAUAAGUUGGUACCUACCUCUAAGUCAGGGAUAACCCAGAGAAAUCUGGAUUAAUACCGGAUGUGUCCUACGGGAUAAAGAUUUAUCGCUUAGAGAGGGGCCUUCUUCCUAUCAGCUAGUUGGUAAGGUAAUGGCUUACCAAGGCAAUGACGGGUAAUUGGUCUGAGAGGAUGACCAGUCACAAUGGAACUGAGACACGGUCCAUACUCCUACGGGAGGCAGCAGUGAGGAAUCUU
rnacentral:rRNA from 2 species